CCCUUAGAUGUUCUGGGCUGCACGCGCGCUACACUGAAGCGUUCAACGAGUAUUUCACCUUGCCCGGGAGGGUUGGGUAAUCUUUUUAAAACGCUUCGUGAUGGGGAUAGAUUAUUGCAAUUAUUAAUCUUCAACGAGGAAUUCCUAGUAAGCGUGAGUCAUCAGCUCGCGUUGAUUACGUCCCUGCCCUUUGUACACACCGCCCGUCGCUCCUACCGAUUGAAUGGUCCGGUGAAAUCUUCGGAUUGCUGGAUAGGACUUCGCAAGUUGACCUAUCUGCGAGAAGUUGCUUGAACCUUAUCAUUUAGAGGAAGGAGAAGUCGUAACA
rnacentral:rRNA from 1 species